UAAAAUAUGUUAUCUCUGUCGCUGUCAUUUCCUCAUAGAACCCUAGCCGUAUUCGCCCUCCCCUUCUUGCCGUUCCUUUCGCCUACGACAACCAUCUCACCUACAUCCUUUUGUGUUCUGGUUUUCGUCCCUUUCCGGUUCCCGGCUCCUUCAAUUUCGUGUUAUUGCCUCCAUUAUUGAGUGGGUGCCUCACCGUAAGCUCUUAUCUUCUCUCCGCCAUCACCAGAACAAAAUUUUAUAUCACUCAAGUUUGAUUCGUCACUGUUCAAGGUAUUCUCCUUUCAUUUUCUCUUUUAACUAGCCCAAUUUUGUAUUUAUAACUCAACUUCCAUGGUAAGAACUCAUUGUUCAGCUUGGAAGAGGAAGUAGAUUAUGUCAUUCAAUUUGAAUACAAAAUUCCAUCGGUGCGGCGAAUGAAGUAAUUGGUCAGUCUUGCAUUCUCUUUAGGUUUCUGGAAUUUACAUGAAAUCAAGAGGAACAAUGGAAAAAGGACCUGUCCUCUAUGCACACAAGAGAUGGAUUAGAGAGAUAAGCAAUUGAAAUCCUGUUGAUGUUAUGAGAAAUGAUUAAUCCAGCGGGUUGUGCAACAAAAUCUUCAAGCGCUGUUAAUCUUGACAAUUGAAUUCACCUGAUUGAAUUUGAUUUUUCAUUUGAGUAUAAGGGUCACUAUAUUACCUCUGAGAAGUAACACUGUUGAAGACUAUCUAUUAUUUAGUAGUACUUUCUGAUUUUUGAUUAGAGUAGUUUAGGUAAUUAUAGGAUAAUAGCAAAAUUCUUUGUAUAGUAUAGUGUUUUUAGGAGUCUAAAAGCUGCAGUCAGGAAUUUAGGAAUGAGAUCACCCAUUAGGGAUGUUAAC